GGAUUCUCCUCCCUCAGCCUCUUGAGUAGCUGGGAUUACAGGCGCCUGCCACCAUGCCCAGCUAAUUUUUGUACUUUAAAUAGAGACGAGGUUUCACCAUGUUGGCCAGGCUGGUCUCGAACUCCUGACUUCAAGCGAUCUACCCACCUUGGCCUCCCAAAGUGCUAGGAUUACAGGUGUGAGCCACCACGCCCGACCUAGAGUCUGACUCUUAAAUGCUACAUGACAUCUCCCUGGAAAAGUAGAUCAGGGAGCUCUGAUUUACCAAGGAGUGCGUGUAGGGGCUGAGAAAAGGAUGGAAAGUUUCCUUUUGAGAGGAGAAAAAAAUGGUGAAAAGAAAAUUCUAGCAAAUAAAAAAUGAUUUGCAAGGCUUCUCCUGUACUUGCUAAGCUGGAGUGCAAUGGAGUGAUCUCAGCUCACUGCAACCUCUGCCUCCUGAGUUCAAGCGAUUCUCCUGCAUCAGCCUCCCGAGUAUCUGGGAUUACAGAUGGGAAACUGAGGCCCAGAAAAGGAAAAGUAUUGUGCAAGACCACACAGCCAGUGGAUGGUAGAGGGGUGCUUCAAACCAGCGGUGUUUGCCUCCAAGAUCUGCGUGAUUCCCCAAACUCCAGUCAGGUCUCCCUGGUCCCCGCUGCUCCCUGCAGAGGUCUCAUCAAAUGCCUGGUCUGCCUGCACCAUGCAGCCUGGAAGAUCACAUCACAGUCUGCUCCACUGUGCUCCCGCCACAGCCCCUGACCCAUCGCCAGCUCCUACCGUCACCCGUGAGGCCCAAUAUGGUGUCGUCCUCCCCUCGAUCGUCAGAAACCAUCGCUCUGUAAAUUCCCUUGUCCUUUUUGGACAACUGGAAAGAAGGAUGAGCGAUGGUGGUGUCAGCAUGGGCUCCAGAAGGAGAGAUGGAUACCAAAUCCGGAGGCCUGGGGUCCAGGCCUGCCCCUCACUCUCUGUGUGACCUCAG